UACGAAGGGGGCUAGCGUUGCUCGGAAUCACUGGGCGUAAAGCGCACGUAGGCGGAUUGCUAAGUCAGGGGUGAAAUCCUGGAGCUCAACUCCAGAACUGCCUUUGAUACUGGCGACCUUGAGUCCGGGAGAGGUGAGUGGAACUGCGAGUGUAGAGGUGAAAUUCGUAGAUAUUCGCAAGAACACCAGUGGCGAAGGCGGCUCACUGGCCCGGUACUGACGCUGAGGUGCGAAAGCGUGGGGAGCAAACAGGAUUAGA
rnacentral:rRNA from 1 species